AAGGAUCAUUACUGAGUGAGGG
rnacentral:rRNA from 1 species